GACGAACGCUGGCGGCGUGCUUAACACAUGCAAGUCGAACGGAAAGGCCCUGCUUGCAGGGUACUCGAGUGGCGAACGGGUGAGUAACACGUGGGUGAUCUGCCAUGCACUUCGGGAUAAGCCUGGGAAACGGGGUCUAAUACCGGAUAGGAGCCAUUUUUAGUGUGAUGGUUGGAAAGUUUUUUCGGUGUAGGAUGAGCUCGCGGCCUAUCAGCUUGUUGGUGGGGUAAUGGCCUACCAAGGCGGCGACGGGUAGCCGGCCUGUGAGGGUGGACGGCCACAUUGGGUCUGAGAUACGGCCCAGACGCCUACUGGUGGCAGCAGGGGGGAAUCUUGCACAAUGGGCGCCAGCCUGAUGCAGCGACGCCGCGUGGGGGAUGACGGCCUUCGGGUUGUAAACUCCUUUCGCUAGGGACGAAGCUUUUUGUGACGGUACCUAGAUAAGAAGCACCGGCUAACUACGUG
rnacentral:rRNA from 1 species